GGGGCCGACAUGGUUUCGACAGCGGCUACGUGGUGCGUGUAAGCAUGCAGAGCGGUGGGGAACGGCUCUUCAAAACGAUCUCCAAGCCCUAACAGGCAACACUGAGUACGCACUUGCUGCUUAAUAGCCCAAGGCUAUGAAGCUUUACCCCGUGAACAACAGUAGCGGGGGCAAGUAUCCUUCGGGGAGGCCCGCAACCCUCCUUCCCGGCCCAAGGAUAUCAUCAUGGGAAGCUGGUCAGCGCGGUGGUCCGUAGCGCUGAUGAGACAACAGGACCUAAGCUGUCAGUAGGGUGUCCUUCCCCGGCUGGCUUUCGAAAACCAACGGAGGAAGAAGCAUGUGGAAAGCUCGUGUUGCGGUCGUUUGGACGAGGGUUCGAAUCCCUCCGGCUCCACCA
rnacentral:tmRNA from 1 species